rnacentral:tRNA from 1 species
GUGCCUGUAGUUUAAUGGGAGAACACUUGAAUGAAGAUCAAGCAGUCUUGGUUCAAUUCCGAGCAGGCACA